AACGAACGCUGGCGGCAGGCCUAACACAUGCAAGUCGAGCGGACCCUUCGGGGUUAGCGGCGGACGGGUGAGUAACGCGUGGGAAUAUGCCCUUCUCUACGGAAUAGUCCUGGGAAACUGGGGGUAAUACCGUAUACGCCCUUUGGGGGAAAGAUUUAUCGGGGAAGGAUUAGCCCGCGUUGGAUUAGGUAGUUGGUGGGGUAAUGGCCUCCCAAGCCGACGAUCCAUAGCUGGUUUGAGAGGAUGAUCAGCCACACUGGGACUGAGACACGGCCCAGACUCCUACGGGAGGCAGCAGUGGGGAAUCUUAGACAAUGGGGGCAACCAUGAUCUAGCCAUGCCGCGUGAGUGAUGAAGGCCUGAGGGUUGUAAAGCUCUUUCAGCUGGGAAGAUAAUGACGGUACCAGCAGAAGAAGCCCCGGCUAACUCCGUG
rnacentral:rRNA from 1 species